GCCAAUGUAGCUCAGCUGGCAGAGCAGCGCAUUCGUAAUGCGCAGGUCAAGGGUUCGAGCCCCUUCAUUGGCUCCA
rnacentral:tRNA from 3 species